UACGGAGGAUCCGAGCGUUGUCCGGAUUUAUUGGGUUUAAAGGGUGCGUAGGUGGCCUGUUAAGUCAGGGGUGAAAGACGGUAGCUCAACUAUCGCAGUGCCCUUGAUACUGAUGGGCUUGAAUGAACUAGAGGUAGGCGGAAUGUGACAAGUAGCGGUGAAAUGCAUAGAUAUGUCACAGAACACCAAUUGCGAAGGCAGCUUACUAUGGUUUUAUUGACACUGAGGCACGAAAGCGUGGGGAUCAAACAGG
rnacentral:rRNA from 1 species